rnacentral:rRNA from 1 species
CGCGGCCUAUCAGCUUGUUGGUGAGGUAACGGCUCACCAAGGCGACGACGGGUAGCUGGUCUGAGAGGACGAUCAGCCACACUGGAACUGAGACACGGUCCAGACACCUACGGGUGGCAGCAGUCGAGAAUCAUUCACAAUGGACGAAAGUCUGAUGGUGCAACGCCGCGUGGAGGAUGAAGGCCCUAGGGUCGUAAACUCCUGUCAUCAGGGAGUAAGCCUUGGUCGUUAAUAGCUUCCAAGGUUGAUAGUACCUGAAGAGGAAGGGACGGCUAACUUCGUGCCAGCAGCCGCGGUAAUACGAAGGUCCCAAGCGUUGUUCGGAAUCACUGGGCGUAAAGAGUAUGUAGGCGGUCUGGAAAGUCAGGUGUGAAAUCCCGGGGCUCAACCCCGGAACUGCACCCGAUACUCCCAGACUAAAGUAAUGGAGGGGUGACUGGAAUUCUCGGUGUAGCAGUGAAAUGCGUAGAUAUCGAGAGGAACACUCGUGGCGAAGGCGAGUCACUGGACAUUUACUGACGCUGAGAUACGAAGGCCAGGGUAGCGAAAGGGAUUAGAUACCCCUGUAGUCCUGGCAGUAAACGGUGCGCGCUUGGUGUGGGAGGAUUCGACCCCUUCCGUGCCGGAGCUAACGCGUUAAGCGCCCCGCCUGGGGAGUACGG